AAUCCUUCUGGAGUUCAAAUUGACUCUAGUAGGGAGUCCUUUUAAUGAGCGACUCCCUAACGGAGUCAGAUUGAAUUACUCUUGGGCUUAACAGCA
rnacentral:pre_miRNA from 12 species